GUCCAAACAGAACUCGGAACCCUGGAGUCACUGGGCAGCACAGUCCAGCGACGGCUGCCUAACAGUCACUUGGCUGGAGAGAGUCAGCAGCGAUCAUGCUGUGCUGCUUUCCCAGGCCUUGAGGCCGCAGCAAUAGGACCCCGCGCAGGGAAAGCACUUGGGCACGAGUGAGAGGAUGGAUGGCUAAGUCCCCAUGCUUCAGGCCACUCACCAGGAGCUGCCUGGCCAUCAGGGGCAGCACAGGGCGGGUCUCACCAGACCCAGAGACCUGGGGACCUGAGAUGAGCGGGAGCCCAGGGCAGAUCUCCCGGGACCUGGACGCCAGACACUCGGGGCCACCGAGUCCAGGACAGGUCCAGUCAGGCCCGGCCACCGCUGCCCAUUUGUGCCCCUUCUGGUACGAGCCAUGAUGGCGACUUGCAGAGUGGUCUGGGCUUCAGCCUCCAGCCCUCCUGAUGGCCUGGGUGGGCCCCAGUUCCAUGUCUCCCCUCUGUUCCAUCCCAGAUUGGGGCCCAAUGGGAGGAGAGCCGAGCAGAGGACUGCAUGGUGAGGAUGGCACUGGCAGGCAUGCAGCACCCCCCCCAAGGGAGCCCCCAGAAUGGGACUUCCUGGACAGCCACCCCAUCCACAUGGACUCCCUCCUGGACCCCUCUGGGGCCUGCAUUCCCGCCCUGCAGGAGGGGAUGGUGGGAAGGACCAGCUCCAGCCCCAGCUGAAGUCCCACAUGUGGAGCCCGAGCCAGCUCCACCUGCAGCUUCCUGCCCAGCACUGGGACCACAGCCAGAGUCCGUGGCAGCCCCUUCACCUGCUGCAGUGCUGGGGCACCCGGUGGUUGCACAGCGGUCCGUGUCACCUCCUGAGCUCCGCCUUGGGCCAGCUCCUGGCCCCUCCCACUGUUUCCUUCACUUAUGCUGCCUCUUGUUUUGGUAUUUACAAUUGCCCUUAUUUCUUGGAUUUAUAUAAAUAAUAGAACUAGCUUUUAAUAAAACUUAAAAUUUUAGUGUUUAAAAGGG